UCCACUUUUCUUGAAAUUCUGCGUCUUACGGGGUCCCUGAGUGGAGAUACCUUUGCCCUUAUCAUCUUUCUUUUGAUUAUCAUUCUUGUCCUCAUCAUCCUCACCGUCACUAGGAAGGUUGUCGAAAUCCUCAAUCCGAACCAAAAUCUCGAAAAACUCAUGAUAAUCGGUGCAAGGAAGCGCACGAACAAAAGUCCGCCAUUUCCUCUUAGUUCCCAGCUUAAAACGACGAAG
rnacentral:lncRNA from 1 species